AGACCCGGAAGGCGCGGGCCUUAGUGGCGGACGGGUGAGUAACGCGUGGGGAACCUGCCCCGUACCGGGGGAUAACACCUGGAAACAGGUGCUAAUACCGCAUAACAGAAGGGGACGCAUGUUCCUUUCUUGAAAACUCCGGUGGUACGGGAUGGACCCGCGUCUGAUUAGCUGGUUGGCGGGGUAACGGCCCACCAAGGCGACGAUCAGUAGCCGGCCUGAGAGGGCGGACGGCCACAUUGGGACUGAGACACGGCCCAAACUCCUACGGGAGGCAGCAG
rnacentral:rRNA from 1 species